AUCACCAGGGUAUCUUGUUAAAAUGCAGAUUCUGAUUCAGGAGGUUUGGGACAGUGCCCCAAAUUCUGCAUUUCUAACAAGCUCCCAAGUAAUGCUAA
rnacentral:pre_miRNA from 1 species